rnacentral:ncRNA from 1 species
AGUCUUCAGGGCGGGGUGAGAUUCCCGACCGGCGGUAUAGUCCGCGACGGGUCAAGUGACCCUCGAUUCGGCGAAAUUCCGAAACCGACAGUAUAGUCUGGAAGGAAGAGGACG